rnacentral:rRNA from 1 species
UGGGGAAUAUUGCACAAUGGGCGCAAGCCUGAUGCAGCAACGCCGCGUGAACGAUGAAGGUCUUCGGAUCGUAAAGUUCUGUUGCAGGGGAAGAUAAUGACGGUACCCUGUGAGGAAGCCCCGGCUAACUACGUGCCAGCAGCCGCGGUAAUACGGAAGGUCCAGGCGUUAUCCGGAUUUAUUGGGUUUAAAGGGAGUGUAGGCGGUUGGUUAAGCGUGUUGUGAAAUGUAGAUGCUCAACAUCUGACUUGCAGCGCGAACUGGCUGACUUGAGUACACACAACGUAGGCGGAAUUCAUGGUGUAGCGGUGAAAUGCUUAGAUAUCAUGAAGAACUCCGAUUGCGAAGGCAGCUUACGGGAGUGUUACUGACGCUUAAGCUCGAAGGUGCGGGUAUCGAACAGG